AGAAGAGGCGGAGCCUAUCUCUCAUCAGGACCAGUCUGACUGCACCUGCAUCCUUAGCUCAGAGCAUCCCUGGAGCAUCUAAGAGGAAAGCGCAGCUAGCAACCAGGGAUCGUACUGCAGGGGCAAUCGGUCAUGCACCUUCCCCUCCCCUGAUCUGGAGGUCUACAGCCGCGGCCUCGGUACUGACCGAGAUUCCCAAAGUUGUCUGACCUCUGCAAAAGUGUUUCUAUCAACAGCCUCUGAUUACAACAUGGCUGAGAUCACAAAUAUACGCCCCAGCUUUGGGGUGUGCUGGAGAGCUUCGCGUACCUACAAGGAAUACUUGCACUGGUCAGCAUCCUUCUGUGGGCCUGCAAUCCUAACCGACAAGGGCACAGAAGGCAGCUGUGCUCACACGGCUCUGAGAGCUCCCUUCACAGGCACUCCUCUGACCCAAGGAGUAACAACACACAGAACAAGCAGCAAGGCACAACUCCUUUCCUCGGAGGGGCAACUGGACAGCCUUUAACCCUUUAAAAACCAGGGACUGAUUUUCACGGGUUCUGACUUCAGCACUGCAUCAUCCAGAAAAAGCCUACCGGUUGGGAUAAAGAGUCCACCAUCCUCCAUCUCUUCCUCAGCUUGGCGAACCAGAGGUCCGAGUGGCUUGUCUUGAGGAAAGGCAGAACCAUCUGGCUGGACUGACUUCCGAGGCUGGGCACCUGGUUUUGCAGAUUGACUGCUGGAUGACAGCAAAGGAACCUCCCCAUCGGAACGCAGCUCAAGUUCUCCUAGAAGAAUCGCAAACAUUGCUCCACACUCUUUCUGCCCAUGAUUAUUCAUAUGCUACUGCAAAAGUAGCAUCUUUUCCUGAGACCUUUAUGACAGACACCUUCAUGAGGCAUAUUAGGCACACAGGCUUUCCCUUCUCGUCAAGAUGGGCUCCCAAAACAAAGAAUGAAAUGAAAACUCAGAUCCAAAUUAUUCAUCCCGAGUUCACACAAUGAAUCAUGCCUAAUUGCUAUGACACUUCCUAUUCAAAUAAGCUUGGAACUCUGUGUUUUCCUAAGAAAAUCAGACCACGGGGUGAAGAUUUAGUUCAACGGCAGAGUGUCAGCCUAGUACAUAUGACACCCCUGGGCUCAGUUCACAGCAUCAAGAAAACAAAAAUCAGAAUACAGGGUAGAGGGUAUAAGAGGACAAAGGGACAGUUAGAGCUGACCAUUAACACUACAUUUCACCAACUAUAAAUGAUAUAAAAUGUCCAAAGGAGGGGCUGGAGAGGUAAUUCAGAGGUUAAGAACACCGGCUGUUAUUGUAAAGCUCCCAAGUUCAAUUCCCAGCACCCACAUUGCAGCUCCUAAGCACCUGUAACUCCAGUUCCAGCUGAUCUCUCCUGCCCUCUACAGGCACAAGGCCUGCAGCAGGUGCAAAGGCAAACACAGUGCUGUGAAUGAGAAUGAACCCCACAGACUCACUUGUUUGCAUUCUUAGUCCCUAAUGGGUGAACCGGCUGAGAAAGUUUCCAAGGAUUAGGCCUUGUGGGAGUGGGUGUGGAAUUCUUGGAGGCAGAGUGUCACUGGAGUGGGCUCUGAGGUUUCAUAAAAGCCCAUGCCAGGCCCAGUGGCUCUCUGCCUGCUGCCUGUGGAUCAGAAUGUAUAUAGUUCUCAGAUACAGCUAACAAACCAGGCUGCCACACACCCCACCAUAAUGAACUAACCCUUUAACUGUGAACUAACUGUAAGCAACCCCCCCAAUUAAAUACUUUAAGAACUGACUUGGUCAUGGUGCCUUUUCACAGCAAUAGGAAUCCAGAAUAAAGACAUACAUAAUCUUCUUUUUUAAUUUGUAAAAAGAAAAAAAUGGGGCUGGAGAGAUGGCUCAGCGGUUAAGAUUGCUCUUCCGAAGGUCCUGAGUUCAAAUCCCAGCAACCACAUGGUGGCUCACAACCAUCGGUAAUGAGAUCUGACACCCUCUUCUGGAAUGUCUGAAGACAGCUACGGUGUACUUACAUGUAAUAAAUAAAUACAUCUUUAAAAAAAAAGAAAAAAAUAAAUGUCAGAGGCAUACUGGCAGACAUCUGUAACCCUAGCACUGUGGAGGCUGAGGCAGGAUAGUGAGUUUAAACCUUGGGCUGCAUAGCAAGGCUAGGCCUC
rnacentral:lncRNA from 1 species